AGUGAACGCUGGCGGCGUGCUUAACACAUGCAAGUCGAACGAGAACGGGUUAUAGCUUGCUAUAAUUGUCAGCUAAGUGGCGCACGGGUGAGUAAUGUAUAGGUAAUAUGCCUCUUACUAAGGGAUAACAAAUGGAAACGUUUGCUAAUACCUUAUACUCCUUAUUAACAGAAGUUAAUAAGGGAAAGAUUUAUUGGUAAGAGAUUAGCCUGUAUUGUAUCAGUUAGUUGGUGGGGUAAUGGCCUACCAAGACUAUGACACAUAACUGGUUUGAGAGGAUGAUCAGUCACACUGGAACUGAGACACGGGCCAGACUCCUACGGGAGGCAGCAGUGGGGAAUAUUGCACAAUGGACGAAAGUCUGAUGCAGCAACGCCGCGUGGAGGAUGACACAUUUCGGUGCGUAAACUCCUUUUAUACGAGAAGAUAAUGACGGUAUUAUAUGAAUAAGCACCGGCUAACUCCGUGCCAGCCGCCGCAGUAA
rnacentral:rRNA from 1 species